rnacentral:rRNA from 1 species
UACAGAGGGUGCGAGCGUUGUCCGGAAUCACUGGGCGUAAAGCGCACGUAGGCGGAUGUGUCAGUCAGGGGUGAAAUCCCGGAGCUCAACUUCGGAACUGCCCCUUGAUACAGCACGUCUUGAGUCCGGAAGAGGUGGGUGGAAUUCCUAGUGUAGAGGUGAAAUUCGUAGAUAUUAGGAAGAACACCGGUGGCGAAGGCGGCCCACUGGUCCGGUACUGACGCUGAGGUGCGAAAGCGUGGGGAGCAAACAGG